UACGUAGGGUGCAAGCGUUAAUCGGAAUUACUGGGCGUAAAGCGUGCGCAGGCGGUUUUGUAAGUCUGUCGUGAAAUCCCCGGGCUAAACCUGGGAAUUGCGAUGGAGACUGCAAGGCUAGAAUCUGGCAGAGGGGGGUAGAAUUCCACGUGUAGCAGUGAAAUGCGUAGAGAUGUGGAGGAACACCGAUGGCGAAGGCAGCCCCCUGGGUCAAGAUUGACGCUCAUGCACGAAAGCGUGGGGAGCAAACAGG
rnacentral:rRNA from 1 species